ACGCUGGCGGCAGGCUUAACACAUGCAAGUCGAACGGUAGCAGGAGAAAGCUUGCUUUCUUGCUGACGAGUGGCGGACGGGUGAGUAAUGCUUGGGAAUCUGGCUUAUGGAGGGGGAUAACUACGGGAAACUGUAGCUAAUACCGCGUAGUGUCGAGAGACGAAAGUGCGGGACCGCAAGGCCGCAUGCCAUGAGAUGAGCCCAAGUGGGAUUAGGUAGUUGGUGGGGUAAAGGCCUACCAAGCCUGCGAUCUCUAGCUGGUCUGAGAGGAUGGCCAGCCACACUGGAACUGAGACACGGUCCAGACUCCUACGGGAGGCAGCAGUGGGGAAUAUUGCGCAAUGGGGGGAGCCCUGACGCAGCCAUGCCGCGUGAAUGAAGAAGGCCUUCGGGUUGUAAAGUUCUUUCGGUAUUGAGGAAGGUUGAUGUGUUAAUAGUACAUCAAAUUGACGUUAAAUACAGAAGAAGCACCGGCUAACUCCGUGCCAGCAGCGGCGGUAAUACGGAGGGUGCGAGCGUUAAUCGGAAUAACUGGGCGUAAAGGGCACGCAGGCGGUUAUUUAAGUGAGGUGUGAAAGCCCCGGGCUUAACCUGGGAAUUGCAUUUCAGACUGGGUAACUAGAGUACUUUAGGGAGGGGUAGAAUUCCACGUGUAGCGGUGAAAUGCGUAGAGAUGUGGAGGAAUACCGAAGGCGAAGGCAGCCCCUUGGGAAUGUACUGACGCUCAUGUGCGAAAGCGUGGGGAGCAAACAGGAUUAGAUACCCUGGUAGUCCACGCUGUAAACGCUGUCGAUUUGGGGAUUGGGCUUAAAGCUUGGUGCCCGUAGCUAACGUGAUAAAUCGACCGCCUGGGGAGUACGGCCGCAAGGUUAAAACUCAAAUGAAUUGACGGGGGCCCGCACAAGCG
rnacentral:rRNA from 1 species